rnacentral:rRNA from 1 species
GACGAACGCUGGCGGCGCGCUUAACACAUGCAAGUCGAGCGAGAACCCAGGCUUCGGCCUGGGGGAAAGCGGCGAACGGGUGAGUAACACGUGGGUAAUCUGCCCUCGGCAUCGGGAUAGCCCGGGGAAACCCGGAUUAAUACCGGAUGGCCCGACAGCUCUUCGGAGUGGUCGGAAAAGGUAGCUUCGGCCUCCGGCCGAGGAGGAGCCCGCGGCGGAUUAGCUUGUUGGUGAGGUAAAGGCUCACCAAGGCUCCGAUCCGUAGCUGGUCUGAGAGGACGAUCAGCCACACUGGGACUGAGACACGGCCCAGACUCCUACGGGAGGCAGCAGUGGGGAAUCUUGCGCAAUGGGCGAAAGCCUGACGCAGCGACGCCGCGUGAGGGAAGAAGGCCUUCGGGUUGUAAACCUCUUUCAGGAGGGACGAAGCCACUCGGGUUAAUAGCCCAGAGGGUGACGGUACCUCCAGAAGAAGCCCCGGCUAACUACGUGCCAGCCGCCGCAGUAA